rnacentral:misc_RNA from 1 species
GCUACUACCGAUUGAAUGGUUCGGUGAAAAUCUCGGACUGCGGCUUGGAUGCCUUCGGGCAACCAAGCUGUGGAAAGUUGUUUAAACCUCAUCGUUUAGAGGAAGGUGAAGUCGUAACAAGGUUUCCGUAGGUGAACCUGCAGAAGGAUCAAGAUCGGAAGAGCGACGGUUGGUGAAAGAGGGUAGAUCUCGGUGGUUGCCGUAUCAUUAAAAAAAAAAACAUGAACAGAAAUUCUUAGACUCAGACUAUCACAUCAUGCUUUGUCACUAUAUGUC